rnacentral:rRNA from 1 species
GACAGAGGGGGCAAGCGUUGCUCGGAAUCACUGGGCGUAAAGGGCGCGUAGGCGGGAUGGCAAGUCGGUCGUGAAAUCCUUCGGCUCAACCGAAGAACGUCGGCCGAUACUGCCGUUCUUGAGGGAUGCAGAGGAGAUUGGAAUUCCCGGUGUAGCGGUGAAAUGUGUAGAGAUCGGGAGGAACACCAGUGGCGAAGGCGACUACCUGGCCUGUUCUUGACGCUGAGGCGCGAAAGCUAGGGGAGCAAACGGG